rnacentral:rRNA from 1 species
GUACACGCUGUGACUAGCAUAUCAAUAAGCGGAGGAAAAGAAACUAACAAGGAUUCCCCUAGUAACGGCGAGUGAAGCGGGAAGAGCUCAAAUUUGAAAUCUUAAAGGGUUUCCCUUUACGAAUUGUAGUUUAAAGAAGUGUUUUCUGUUGAGGUUUUGGUAAAAGUUCUUUGGAAUAGGACAUCAUAGAGGGUGAGAAUCCCGUAUUUGACCCUUACUUUCAACUUUGUGAUACACUUUCAAAGAGUCGGAUUGUUUGGGAAUGCAGGUCCAAAAUGGGUGGUAAAUUUCAUCUAAAGCUAAAUAUUGGCGAGAGACCGAUAGCGAACAAGUACCGUGAGGGAAAGAUGAAAAGAACUUUGAAAAGAGAGUUAAACAGUACGUGAAAUUGUCAAAAGGGAAGCGUUUGACACCAGUGUUGUUUUUCUGAAAAUCAAUUAAAGAACUGUUUAUGCUAAGUUGUUUAGACUUUAUCAGCUAACUGUUUAGUUUUGAGCUUUUCUUUAAUGCACUUUUCAGUUAACAAGUCAACAUCAAUUUCUUUUGCUGUAAAAAAGCUUGAGGAAGGUGGCUUGAGAUUCGUCUUAAGUGUUUAUAGCCUCUUGCCUAUGCAGUCGGAGAGAUUGAGGUCUGCAGGCGUAGAUCCUUCGGGGCUAAAUGCAUUUGUGCUAAGUUAUAGCAUUUUAUAGACAACUUGUUGACUAUGAUUUGUCUUGUAGCUUACUUGCUUAUGUUAUUUUACCUACGCUUAGGAUGUUGAGGAUGUAGCACAUCAU